UGCAGAUCUAAACACAGCCUUCUGUCAUCUUGCGCUGUCUCCUAAACUCCCAAUCUCAUACUCACACUUUACCUAAUCUUCAACUUCAUCCAGACUCCAGUUUGCAGGUUGCUGCUCAUUUUCUCAGCCCACCAGGCUCCUUCCAGCUCUACUUUCUUCCCUAUUGGCUAGGCUGGUCUCAAACUCAGAACCUCAGGUAAUCUGCCCUCCUUGGCCUCCCAAAGUGCUGGGAUUACAGGUGUGAGACACUGCACCCAGCCCUCACUAGCAGAUUUUGAAAAUCUGUGAUCUGUGCUAUGUAACCCCCAUUCUCCAUAGUGUAUAAAAUUCAAUGCAAACUGUAAAGCUCAUUAUUCCUUUGUAGCAUGUGUCUACUUCUAGAAAAUAGGGCAAAAUGGAGACCUACUUCAGCCUUGGGGAGGGUGAAACAGAGGCUGUCCUUAUGUCCUGUGACUUCUGGCCAUGUCUUCUUUCUCUUGACUCUGCUGCUGCUCUUUCUGACCUUUCUCUAGCUCAGGAGUGAGCAAAAUUUCCUGUAGGA
rnacentral:lncRNA from 10 species